rnacentral:rRNA from 1 species
GUGCCAGCAGCCGCGGUAAUACGGAGGGGGCCAGCGUUGCUCGGAAUUACUGGGCGUAAAGGGCUCGUAGGCGGUCUGAUAAGUCCUGUGUGAAAUCCCCUGGCUUAACCAGGGAACUGCGCCGGAUACUGUCGGACUAGAGGCCGGGAGAGGGAAGCGGAAUUCCCAGUGUAGCGGUGAAAUGCGUAGAUAUUGGGAGGAACACCGGUGGCGUAGGCGGCUUCCUGGACCGGUUCUGACGCUAAAGGGCGAAAGCUAGGGUAGCAAACAGGAUUAGAUACCCCGGUAGUCC